AUAUUAGUCAAUGCUCGCAAGAGUGAACUAGCUAACUGAAAUCCUUGGUGUGUCAUCGAGGAUAACGUAAGGGAAAAUAAUGAUAUUACCUUACUAUUAGUGUCGUCCAAAUGCUCGUGCCAGAAGACUCGGUAAGACGAGAGACGCUAACGUUAUUCGUCUUGAUCAGGCGUAAAGGGUUUGUAGGCGGCUUUAAGUAUUCAAUAUUAAGUUUACAAUUAUAAUCUUUUUUUAAAUAAUUAUAAUAUUUAUUAAAGGAUCAAUUAAAGCUAGAAUCUAACAGAGGUUAAAACAAUACUUACAGUAGGUGUACAAACCACAGAUAGUAAGUAGAGUGUUAAGGGCGAAGGCGUUUAUCCACUGAAGAUUGACGCUGAGAAACGAAGGUGAGGACAGAAAAAAGGAUUAGAGACCCUUGUAUCCCUCACUGUCAACGAUGAAUGGUAGUUACUAGGGAGAAAUAAACUAGAGACGAUGUUAACACGAAAACCAUUCCGCCUUGUGAGUACGACUGCAAAGUUGAAAACAAAAAAAUUAGUCGGUUUCGGAGCAAACGAAGUGAAGCAUGUUAUUUAAU
rnacentral:rRNA from 1 species